CUACGGGGGGCACCAGUGGGGAAUAUUGGACAAUGGGGGAAACCCUGAUCCAGCAAUGCCGCGUGUGUGAAGAAGGCCUGCGGGUUGUAAAGCACUUUCGGUUGGGAGGACUGCUUCUAGCACUAAUAUUGUUGGAAGUUGACGUUACCUUCAGAAGAAGCACCGGCUAACUCCGUGCCAGCAGCCGCGGUAAUACGGAAGGUGCAAGCGUUAAUCGGAAUUACUGGGCGUAAAGCGCGCGUAGGCGGCUAGAUCAGUCGGGUGUGAAAGCCCCGGGCUUAACCUGGGAACUGCAUCCGAUACUGUCUAGCUUGAGUACAGGAGAGGAGAGUGGAAUUCCACAUGUAGCGGUGAAAUGCGUAGAUAUGUGGAGGAACACCAAUGGCGAAGGCAGCUCUCUGGCCUGAUACUGACGCUGAGGUGCGAAAGCGUGGGGAGCAAACAGGAUUAGAUACCCAGGUAGUC
rnacentral:rRNA from 1 species